GUCUACCGCCAUACCACCCUGAACACGCCCAAUCUCGUCUGAUCUCGGAAGCUAAGCAGGGUCGGGCCUGGUUAGUACUUGGAUGGGAGAAAGAUGCAGUAAUUA
rnacentral:rRNA from 1 species